rnacentral:misc_RNA from 1 species
GAUGAAGAACGUAGCAAAAUGCGAUAAGUAAUGCGAAUUGCAGAAUUCAGUGAAUCAUCGAAUCUUUGAACGCACAUUGCGCCCGCCAGUAUUCUGGCGGGCAUGCCUGUUCGAGCGUCAUUUCAACCCUCAAGCUCAGCUUGGUGUUGGGACUCGCGGUAACCCGCGUUCCCCAAAUCGAUUGGCGGUCACGUCGAGCUUCCAUAGCGUAGUAAUCAUACACCUCGUUACUGGUAAUCGUCGCGGCCACGCCGUAAAACCCCAACUUCUGAAUGUUGACCUCGGAUCAGGUAGGAAUACCCGCUGAACUUAAGCAUAUCAAUAAGCGGAGGA